rnacentral:lncRNA from 1 species
UUCAGCUAGUCUUUAUAUUCUAACACAAACAACAUGGCUGUUACUUCUAUGCUAUAGUUAGAGUCGAAUCUUCCUUCAAAUUUGAAGAAACAAAUGUAUUGCAAACUGCGAUAGUUCAUAACAUGGCACUAAUGAGAGGAGAAGUACAAGGAGUUGGCAAACACAUCCAUUCAUGUUAUUAACAAAAAAACAGCAUACACUGUUCACAUAAACCAACUCAUCCAUUUUCCAUCAUCACUUCUCACACCACUUUCUCGCUAACAAGAAGGUUAUUGUACCACUUUCUCCAUAACAAGAAGCUUAUUGUCAUUACUGGCUACGGGCACUGACACUAUCAACAGAAAGUUAAUUGAUGCUAAAUUGAUUAAGCAUCUGCAAUUUCAGCAGAUUCAGUAGCAGCAGCUAGGACAAGCUCUGGGUGGAUCUUCCCUGCAGCAUUAUUUUUAUCCACAGCAUUGGGAAGCCCCAGUGAUCUCAAGGCCAAAUGUGCUGCCUUCUGCCCUGAUAUCAUCAUAGCUCCAAAUGUUGGACCCUGCAUUUUCCAAUAUGCCCCAAAACAAUUAGUUUCUUGAUUUCAAUUUUCAUUAAAGAAACAACUCUUCUUGGCUCCACCGGCCAAAGCUUACAAAUAAAAGCCAGUCCAGAUAAGAAAAGGAGGUAGUCUAAUAAAACACCUCAACAAUGAAAUCAAAAGCUCAACCACUCCAUAAACCAAACUAGUAAAACCCAUCAAUAGAAGUUUUCUUUUAACAUUGCUCCUCUAAUCAGACUAGUUUUAAGUUGGCUUCUCUCAAAUAGAUCAAAAGUAUGUGCAGGUAAUUAUCACCGCCCUCCAGAUAAAAAAAACACACGCACAAAUAAAGUAACCAAAAGAAAAGUUGCAAAAGGGACAACAAAGAUGCCACUGAGCAUAAUGGAUUACUAAAUGUUAAAGAGACUAUUGGGUCCAUGAGACCAUGACCCUUUAUAAAGAGAGUUGUCACUUAUCUCAUCAGACAUGACUUCCAUUUCAGUCCUAUAUCAUCUUAUCAGUAUGCUGUAUAUAAUAUCUGCUAAGAGUCCCCAAAAUAGUUUGAUUAGUGGUUUUCAAACAUCAAAAGUUGAGAAUUUACCAU